rnacentral:rRNA from 1 species
GAUGAACGCUGGCGGCGUGCCUAACACAUGCAACUCGAGCGAACAGACGAGGAGCUUGCUUCUCUGACGUUAGCGGCGGACGGGUGAGUAACACGUGGAUAACCUACCUAUAAGACUGGGAUAACUUCGGGAAACCGGAGCUAAUACCGGAUAAUAUAUUGAACCGCAUGGUUCAUUAGUGAAAGACGGUUUUGCUGUCCCUUAUAGAUGGAUCCGCGCCGCAUUAGCUAGUUGGUAAGGUAACGGCUUACCAAGGCAACGAUGCGUAGCCGACCUGAGAGGGUGAUCAGCCACACUGGAACUGAGACACGGUCCAGACUCCUACGGGAGGCAGCAGUAGGGAAUCUUCCGCAAUGGGCGAAAGCCUGACGGAGCAACGCCGCGUGAGUGAUGAAGGUCUUCGGAUCGUAAAACUCUGUUAUUAGGGAAGAACAAAUGUGUAAGUAACUAUGCACGUCUUGACGGUACCUAAACAGAAAGCCACGGCUAACUACGUG